rnacentral:rRNA from 1 species
AUUGAACGCUGGCGGAAUGCUUUACACAUGCAAGUCGAACGGCAGCACGGACUUCGGUCUGGUGGCGAGUGGCGAACGGGUGAGUAAUGUAUCGGAACGUGCCCAGUGGUGGGGGAUAACGUAGCGAAAAUUACGCUAAUACCGCAUACGAUCUAUGGAUGAAAGCGGGGGAUCGCAAGACCUCGCGCGAUUGGAGCGGCCGAUAUCAGAUUAGGUAGUUGGUGGGGUAAAGGCCCACCAAGCCAACGAUCUGUAGCUGGGCUGAGAGGACGACCAGCGACACUGGAUCUGAGACACGGUCCAGACUCGUAGGGGAGGCAGCGGUGGGGAAUUUGGGACAGUGGGCGCAAGCCUGAUCCAGCAAUGCCGCGUGCAGGAUGAGGGCCCUCGGGUUGUAAACUGCUUUUGUUCAGAACGAAAAGGUCUCUAUUAAUACUAGGGGCUCAUGACGGUACUGUAAGAAUAAGCACCGGCUAACUACGUGCCAGCAGCCGCUGUAA